AUUGAACGCUGGCGGCAUGCUUUACACAUGCCAGUCGAACGGCAGCGCGGGCUUCGGCCUGGCGGCGAGUGGCGAACGGGUGAGUAAUGCAUCGGAACGUGCCCAGUAGUGGGGGAUAGCCCGGCGAAAGCCGGAUUAAUACCGCAUACGACCUGAGGGUGAAAGCGGGGGACCGAAAGGCCUCGGGCGAUUGGAGCGGCCGAUGUCGGAUUAGCUAGUUGGUGGGGUAAAGGCUUACCAAGGCGACGAUCCGUAGCUGGUCUGAGAGGACGACCAGCUACACUGGGACUGAGACACGGCCCAGACUCCUACGGGAGGCAGCAGUGGGGAAUUUUCGACAAUGGGGGAAAGCCUGAUCCAGCCAUGCCGCGUGCGGGAUGAAGGCCUUCGGGUUGUAAACCGCUGUUGUCCGGGAAGAAAACCUCUGUACUAAUACGCCGGGGGGAUGACGGUACCGGAAGAAUAAGCACCGGCUAACUACGUG
rnacentral:rRNA from 1 species